AGAGUUUGAUCAUGGCUCAGAUUGAACGCUGGCGGCAGGCUUAACACAUGCAAGUCGAGCGGAAACGAUUCUAGCUUGCUAGAAGGCGUCGAGCGGCGGACGGGUGAGUAAUGCUCAGGAAUCUACCGAGUAGUGGGGGAUAGCCAUUGGAAACGAUGAUUAAUACCGCAUAUAUCCUACGGGGGAAAGCAGGGGACCUUCGGGCCUUGCGCUAUUCGAUGAGCCUGAGUGAGAUUAGCUAGUUGGUAGGGUAAAGGCCUACCAAGGCGACGAUCUCUAGCUGGUCUGAGAGGAUGAUCAGCCACACUGGGACUGAGACACGGCCCAGACUCCUACGGGAGGCAGCAGUGGGGAAUAUUGCACAAUGGGCGAAAGCCUGAUGCAGCCAUGCCGCGUGUGUGAAGAAGGCCUUCGGGUUGUAAAGCACUUUCAGCGAGGAGGAAAGGUCAGUAGCUAAUAAUUGCUGGCUGUGACGUUACUCGCAGAAGAAGCACCGGCUAAUUUAGUGCCAGCAGCCGCGGUAAUACUAAAGGUGCAAGCGUUAAUCGGAAUUACUGGGCGUAAAGCGCGCGUAGGUGGUUUGUCAAGUUGGAUGUGAAAGCCCAGGGCUCAACCUUGGAACAGCAUCCAAAACUGGCUCACUAGAGUACGAGAGAGGUUAGUGGAAUUUCCUGUGUAGCGGUGAAAUGCGUAGAGAUGGGAAGGAACACCAGUGGCGAAGGCGACUGACUGGCUCGAUACUGACACUGAGGUGCGAAAGCGUGGGGAGCAAACGGGAUUAGAUACCCCGGUAGUCCACGCCGUAAACGAUGUCUACUAGAAGCUCGGAACCUCGGUUCU
rnacentral:rRNA from 1 species